rnacentral:misc_RNA from 1 species
AACGCAUAUUGCGCUCUUUGGUAUUCCGAAGAGCAUGCUUGUUUGAGUAUCAGUAAACACCUCAAAGCUUUUGAUCUUUUUCAAAAGUUUUGGACUUGAGCAAUCCCAACACCAGUCUUUUUCGGACCGGUGGCGGGUUGCUUGAAAUGCAGGUGCAGCUGGACAUUCUCCUGAGCUAAAAGCAUAUUUAUUUAGUCCCGUCAAACGGAUUAUUACUUUUGCUGCAGCUAAUAUAAAGGGAGUUUGACCGUAUUGGCUGACUGAUGCAGGAUUUCACAAGGGUCGGAAACGAUUUUUGUAAAACUCGAUCUCAAAUCAAGUAAGACUACCCGCUGAACUUAA